GUGACGUAGUACGGCGAGUGAAGCGGCAAAAGCUCAAAUUUGAAAUCUAGCACUUUCAGUGUUCGAGUUUGUAAUUUGAAGAAGGUAACUUUGGAAUUGGCUCUUGUCUAUGUUCCUUGGAACAGGACGUCACAGAGGGUGAGAAUCCCGUGCGAUGAGAUGUCCAAUUCUAUGUAAAGUGCUUUCGAAGAGUCGAGUUGUUUGGGAAUGCAGCUCUAAGUGGGUGGUAAAUUCCAUCUAAAGCUAAAUAUUGGCGAGAGACCGAUAGCGAACAAGUACAGUGAUGGAAAGAUGAAAAGAACUUUGAAAAGAGAGUGAAAAAGUACGUGAAAUUGUUGAAAGGGAAGGGCUUGAGAUCAGACUUGGUAUUUUGUGUUCCUUAUUCUUUUUGGAUUUGGUUCCUCACAGCUUACCGGGCCAGCAUCGGUUUGGAUGGUAGGAUAAUGACAUUGGAAUGUAGCUUUGCUUCGGUGAAGUGUUAUAGACUUUGUUGAUACUGCCUAUCUAGACCGAGGACUGCGUCUUUGACUAGGAUGCUGGCGUAAUGAUCUUAAGCCGCCCGUCUUGAACA
rnacentral:rRNA from 1 species